rnacentral:rRNA from 1 species
UUGCGCAAUGGGCGGAAGCCUGACGCAGCGACGCCGCGUGGGGGAUGACGGCCUUCGGGUUGUAAACCUCUUUCAGCAGGGACGAAGCGACAGUGACGGUACCUGCAGAAGAAGCACCGGCCAACUACGUGCCAGCAGCCGCGGUAAUACGUAGGGUGCAAGCGUUGUCCGGAAUUAUUGGGCGUAAAGAGCUCGUAGGCGGUUUGUCGCGUCGGCUGUGAAAACCCGGAGCUCAACUCCGGGCCUGCAGUCGAUACGGGCAGACUUGAGUGUUGCAGGGGAGACUGGAAUUCCUGGUGUAGCGGUGAAAUGCGCAGAUAUCAGGAGGAACACCGGUGGCGAAGGCGGGUCUCUGGGCAACAACUGACGCUGAGGAGCGAAAGCGUGGGGAGCGAACAGGAUUAGAUACCCUGGUAGUCCACGCCGUAAACGUUGGGCGCUAGGUGUGGGGCUCAUUCCACGAGUUCCGUGCCGCAGCUAACGCAUUAAGCGCCCCGCCUGGGGAGUACGGCCGCAAGCUACAAACUCAAAGGAAUUGACGGGGGCCCGCACAAGCGGCGGAGCAUGCUUGCUUAAUUCGAUGCAACGCGAAGAACCUUACCUAGGCUUGACAUGCACGGAAAUCUCCCAGAGAUGGGGGGUCCGUAAGGGCCGUGCACAGGUGGUGCAUGGUCGUCGUCAGCUCGUGUCGUGAGAUGUUGGGUUAAGUCCCGCAACGAGCGCAACCCUCGUCCUAUGUUGCCAGCACGUGAUGGUGGGGACUCAUAGGAGACUGCCGGGGUCAACUCGGAGGAAGGUGGGGAUGACGUCAAAUCAUCAUGCCCCUUAUGUCUAGGGCUGCAAACAUGCUACAAUGGCCGGUACAAAGGGCUGCGAUACCGCGAGGUGGAGCGAAUCCCAAAAAGCCGGUCUCASUUCGGAUUGGGGUCUGCAACUCGACCCCAUGAAGUUGGAGUCGCU